GUUCAAUAUUGGUAAUAUGAUUCUUAAUGAUGUUUAUACGAUUUAUCAUGUUAUACAGUCAGGUCCAUAAAUAUUGGGACAUCAAAAUAAUUAUUUUUCUCUAUACACCACCACAAUGGAUUUGAAAGGAAAUCAGCUUUAAUUUGAGGGUAUUUACAUCCAAAUCAGGUGAACAGUGUAGGAAUUACAACAGUUUGUAUAUGUGCCUCCCACUUUUCAAGGGACAAAAAGUAAUGGGACAAUUGGCUGCUCAGCUGUUCCAUGGCCAGGUGUGUGUUAUUCCCUCAUUAUCCUAUUUACAAGGAGCAGAUAAAAGGUCCAGAGUUCAUUUCAAGUGUGCUAUUUGCAUUUGGAAUCUGUUGCUGUCAACUCUCAAUAUAAGAUCCAAAGAGCUGUCAUUAUUAGUGAAGCAAGCCAUCGUUAGGCUGAAAAAAACAAAACAAACCCAUCAGAGAGAUAGCAAAAACAUUAGGUGUGGCCAAAUCAACUGUUUGGAACAUCCUGAAAAAGAAAGAAUGCACCGAUGAGCUCAGCAACACCAAAAGACCCGGAAGACCACAGAAAACAACUGUGGUGGAUGACCAAAGAAUUCUUUCCCUGGUGACGAUAACACCCUUCACAACAGUUAGCCAGAUCAAGAACACUUUCCAGGAGGUAGGUGUAUAUGUGUCAAAGUCAACAAUUAAGAGAAGACUUCCCCAGAGUGAAUACAGAGGGUUCACCACAAGAUGUAAACCAUUGGUGAGCCUCAAAAACAGGAAGGCCAGAUUAGAGUUUGACAAACAACAUCUAAGAAAGCCUUCACAGUUCUGGAACAACAUGCUGUGGACAGAUGAGACCAAGAUCAACUUGUAGCAGAGUGAUGGGAAGAGAAAAGUAUGGAGAAGGAAAGGAACUGCUCAUGAUCCAAAGCCUACCACCUCAUCAGUGAAGCAUGGUGGUGGUAGUGUCAUGGCGUGGGCAUGUAUGGCUGCCAAUGGAACUGGUUCUCUUGUAUUUAUUGAUGAUGUGACUGCUGACAAAAGCAGCAGGAUGAAUUCUGCAGUGUUUUGGGCCAUAUUAUCUGCUCAUAUUCAGCCAAAUGCUUCAGAACUCAUUGGACGGCGCUUCACAGUGCAGAUGGACAAUGACCCGAAUCAUACUGCAGAAGCAACCAAAGAGUUUUUUAAGGGAAAGAAGUGGAAUGUUAUGCAAUGGCCAAGUCAAUCACCUGACCUGAAUCCGAUUGAGCAUGCAUUUCACUUGAUGAAGACAAAACUGAAGGGAAAAUGCCCCAAGAACAAGCAGAAACUGAAGACAGUUGCAGUAGAGGCCUGGCUGAGCAUCACCAGGGAUGAAACCCAGUGUCUGGUGAUGUCUAUGCGUUCCAGACUUCAGGCUGUAAUUGACUGCAAAGGAUUUGCAACCAAGUAUUAAAAAGUGAAAGUUUGAUUUAUGACUGCUAAUCUGUCCCAUUACUUUUGGUCCCUUAAAAAGUGGGAGGCACUCUGUAUCUCUGCCCUGUGAGUUCUCUGAUGUUUGGUAAGAUCUGAGCGCUGGAUAAAACAUUUCCCACAUUCAGAACAUGAGUAAGGUUUCUCUCCUGUGUGUGUUCUUUGAUGUGCAAUAAAAUUAGUUUGAUGACUAAAAGAUUUUCCACAUUCAGAACAUAAGUAAGGUUUCUCUCCUGUGUGAGUUCUCUGAUGUGCAACAAGAUGUGAAUGCUGGCUAAAACAUUUCCCACAUUUAGAACAUGAGAAAGGUUUGUCUCCUGUGUGAGUUCUCUCAUGUCUAACAAGAUCCGAUUUACUUUGAAAACAUUUUCCACAUUCAGAACAUGAAUAAGGUUUCUCUCCUGUGUGAGUUCCCUGAUGCUUUGUAAGAACUGAGCGCUGGCUAAAACAUUUCCCACAUUCAGAACAUGAGAAAGGUUUAUCCCCUGUGUGAGUUCUCUGAUGUAAAAGAAGAUGUGCACGCCGACUAAAACAUUUCCCACAUUCAGAGCAUGAGAGCAGUUUCUCUCCUGUGUGAGUUCUCUGAUGUGUCACAAGGAUGGAGUGCCGGUUAAAACAUUUCCCACAUUCAGAACAUGAAAAAGGUUUCUCUCCUGUGUGAGUUCUCUGAUGUCUAAUAAGAAGCGAAUGCCGACUAAAACAUUUCUCACAUUCCGUACAUGAGAAAGGUUUCUCGCCUGUGUGAGUUAUCUGAUGUCUAACAAGAUCAAAUUUACUGUGAAAACAUUUCUCACAUUCAGAACAUGAGAAUGGUUUCUCUCCUGUGUGAAAUCUCUGAUGUCUAAGAAGUUCUGAUUUACAAACAAAACUUUUCCCACAUUCAGAACAGAAGAAAGAUUUAUCUCCUGUGUGAAUUCUCUGAUGUAUGACUAGUUGUGUUUUACAAACAAAACAUUUCCCACAUUCAGAACAUGAGAAAGGUUUCUCUCCUGAGUGAAUUCGCUGAUGUUUAACAAGAUGCGUCUGUUGACUAAAAUAUUUCCUACAUUCAGAGCAUGAGAACUGUUUCUCUCCUGUGUGAGUUUUCUGAUGUCUCACAAGAUCUGAAUUACAGGGAAAACUUUUCCCACACUCAGAACAAUAGAAAGGUUUAUCUAUUUUGUGAAUUCUCUGAUGUUUCAUAAGAUAUGAGCGCUGAUUAAAACAUUUCCCACAUUCAGAACAUGAAAAAGGUUUUUCUCCCGUGUGAGUCCUGAAGUGGAUAACAAAUUUUGAAUAACGGCUAAAACAUUUCCCACAUUCAGAACAUGGAAAAUGUUUUAUAUUUCCGUUUACUAUGUCAUUUGUAGACAUUCUGAGAGAUUUCUUGAAAUUUGAGAGCUGGAAUCUUUGGUCCUUUCUUAAAGGAUUUCUUCAUAGUCUUGCUUAAUGUAUUUCUGUUCUUAUCAUGUGCUUCACGGUAACUUCAGCUGACAGAAACCUGAAA
rnacentral:lncRNA from 1 species